GGAGAGAUGGCCGAGCGGUUUAAGGCGCUGGUCUUGAAAACCAGUGAUAUCGCAAGAUACCGGGGGUUCGAAUCCCUCUCUCUCCGCCA
rnacentral:tRNA from 1 species